UUUAUGGAGAGUUUGAUCCUGGCUCAGGAUGAACGCUGGCGGCGUGCCUAAUACAUGCAAGUCGAGCGAACGGACGAGAAGCUUGCUUCUCUGAUGUUAGCGGCGGACGGGUGAGUAACACGUGGAUAACCUACCUAUAAGACUGGGAUAACUUCGGGAAACCGGAGCUAAUACCGGAUGAUAUUUUGAACCGCAUGGUUCAAAAGUGAAAGACGGUCUUGCUGUCACUUAUAGAUGGAUCCGCGCUGCAUUAGCUAGUUGGUAAGGUAACGGCUUACCAAGGCAACGAUGCAUAGCCGACCUGAGAGGGUGAUCGGCCACACUGGAACUGAGACACGGUCCAGACUCCUACGGGAGGCAGCAGUAGGGAAUCUUCCGCAAUGGGCGAAAGCCUGACGGAGCAACGCCGCGUGAGUGAUGAAGGUCUUCGGAUCGUAAAACUCUGUUAUUAGGGAAGAACAUAUGUGUAAGUAACUGUGCACAUCUUGACGGUACCUAAUCAGAAAGCCACGGCUAACUACGUGCCAGCAGCCGCGGUAAUACGUAGGUGGCAAGCGUUAUCCGGAAUUAUUGGGCGUAAAGCGCGCGUAGGCGGUUUUUUAAGUCUGAUGUGAAAGCCCACGGCUCAACCGUGGAGGGUCAUUGGAAACUGGAAAACUUGA
rnacentral:rRNA from 1 species